rnacentral:lncRNA from 1 species
UUCUUGAUAAUUGGGGUUGGUAACAAAAUUCGGGCGAAUUCUAUGCAAUUCGAUUGGAAUACUUGGGGGUUCUGGGAAAUGAUUCGAAUUUGAGCGGCGGGUGUUGUUCGAUUUGCUAAUUUCAGUCGAAUUAGGGAGAAUUCUGACUAAUCAUGUGAAUAUCCCCCUCCUGUUUCGCGCAGGUUCUUGAGCUGGCCGGGAACGCCGCGAGGGACAACAAGAAGACCCGUAUCGUGCCGCGCCACAUCCAGCUGGCCGUCCGCAACGACGAGGAGCUCUCCCGCCUGCUGGGCACGGUGACCAUCGCCAGCGGUGGCGUCAUGCCCAACAUCCACAACCUGCUGCUCCCCAAGAAGGCUGGCGGAGGCAGCGCCAAGGCCGCGGCCGGCGACGAGGACUAGAUCCCUGACUACCGUGCUUCCGGUGGGGGUGGCCGUUUCUUGUGGAUGAUGUAUCACUUGUGCUUGUGUAGUAGUGCGUUCUAGACUCGCCUAGGUUUUGCCUUCUAGUAGGGAGGUUGUGUGUGCCUGUACCGAUGCUAAAGCUAGUUUA